UACGGGGGGGGCAAGCGUUGUUCGGAAUUACUGGGCGUAAAGGGCUCGUAGGCGGCCAACUAAGUCGGAUGUGAAAUCCCCAGGCUCAACUUGGGAACUGCAUCCGAUACUGGAUGGCUUGAAUUCGGGAGAGGGAUGCAGAAUUCCAGGUGUAGCGGUGAAAUGCGUAGAUAUCGAGAGGAACACCUGCGGCGAAGGCGGGUUGCUGGGCCGACACUGACGCUGAUGCGCGAAAGCCAGGGGAGCGAACGGG
rnacentral:rRNA from 1 species